rnacentral:rRNA from 1 species
CGAAUCUUCAGCAAUGCGCGAAAGCGUGACGGAGCAAUGCCGCGUGCAGGAUGAAGGCCUUCGGGUUGUAAACUGCUGUCAGGGUUUAGGAAGAAAGUGACCAAACCCAAAGGAAGGACCGGCUAACUUCGUGCCAGCAGCCGCGGUAAUACGAAGGGCCCGAGCGUUAAUCGGAAUCACUGGGCUUAAAGCGUACGCAGGUGGACAUGCAGGCAUCUUGUGAAAUCCCUCCGCUCAACGGAGGAACUGCUUGGUGAACCGCAUGUCUUGAGACAAGUAGGGGCUGUCGGAACGAUAGGUGGAGUGGUGAAAUGCGUUGAUAUCUAUCGGAACGCCGAAGGAGAAAUCAGGCAGCUGGGCUUGUUCUGACACUCAUGUACGAAAGCGUGGGUAGC